UACGAAGGGGGCUAGCGUUGCUCGGAAUUACUGGGCGUAAAGCGCACGUAGGCGGCUCUUUAAGUCGGAGGUGAAAUCCUGGAGCUCAACUCCAGAACUGCCUUCGAUACUGAAGAGCUCGAGUCCGGGAGAGGUGAGUGGAACUGCGAGUGUAGAGGUGAAAUUCGUAGAUAUUCGCAAGAACACCAGUGGCGAAGGCGGCUCACUGGCUCGUAACUGACGCUCAUGCACGACAGCGUGGGGAUCAAACAGG
rnacentral:rRNA from 1 species